UGGGUUCCGGUUCACGCCGCGCCUGCCUCGUUUCGACGGGGCAGGCGGAAGACGGCGACCCGGCGACC
rnacentral:ncRNA from 1 species